ACGAACGCUGGCGGCGUGCUUAACACAUGCAAGUCGAGCGGAAAGGCCCUUCGGGGUACUCGAGCGGCGAACGGGUGAGUAACACGUGAGCAACCUGCCCUAGGCUUUGGGAUAACCCCGGGAAACCGGGGCUAAUACCGAAUAUGACCUGGCCUCGCAUGAGGCUUGGUGGAAAGUUUUUCGGCCUGGGAUGGGCUCGCGGCCUAUCAGCUUGUUGGUGGGGUGAUGGCCUACCAAGGCGACGACGGGUAGCCGGCCUGAGAGGGCGACCGGCCACACUGGGACUGAGACACGGCCCAGACUCCUACGGGAGGCAGCAGUGGGGAAUAUUGCACAAUGGGCGGAAGCCUGAUGCAGCGACGCCGCGUGAGGGAUGACGGCCUUCGGGUUGUAAACCUCUUUCAGCAGGGACGAAGCGUAAGUGACGGUACCUGCAGAAGAAGCCCGGCA
rnacentral:rRNA from 1 species